rnacentral:rRNA from 1 species
ACCAGACUCCUACGGGAGGCAGCAGUGGGGGAUAUUGCACAAUGGGGGGAACCCUGAUGCAGCGACGCCGCGUGGGUGAAGAAGCGCCUCGGCGCGUAAAGCCCUGUCAGCAGGGAAGAAAAUGACGGUACCUGAAGAAGAAGCCCCGGCUAACUACGUGCCAGCAGCCGCGGUAAUACGUAGGGGGCAAGCGUUAUCCGGAUUUACUGGGUGUAAAGGGGGCGCAGACGGCGAUGCAAGCCAGGAGUGAAAGCCCGGGGCCCAACCCCGGGACUGCUCUUGGAACUGCGUGGCUGGAGUGCAGGAGGGGCAGGCGGAAUUCCUGGUGUAGCGGUGAAAUGCGUAGAUAUCAGGAGGAACACCGGUGGCGAAGGCGGCCUGCUGGACUGCAACUGACGUUGAGGCCCGAAAGCGUGGGGAGCAAACAGGAUUAGAUACCCAGUAGAA